rnacentral:rRNA from 1 species
GGGGUAUGGCCUACCAGACUUUGAUCAUAGCUGAUUUGAGAGGAUGAUCAGCCACAUUGGGACUGAGACACGGCCCAAACUCCUACGGGAGGCAGCAGUAAGGAAUCUUGCACAAUGGAGGAAACUCUGAUGCAGCGAUGCCGCGUGAGUGAAGAAGGCCCUUGGGUUGUAAAGCUCUUUCGUCGGGGAAGAAAAUGACUGUACCCGAAUAAGAAGGUCCGGCUAACUUCGUGCCAGCAGCCGCGGUAAUACGAAGGGACCUAGCGUAGUUCGGAAUUACUGGGCUUAAAGAGUUCGUAGGUGGUUAAAAAAGUUGGUGGUGAAAUCCCAGAGCUUAACUCUGGAACUGCCAUCAAAACUUUUUAGCUAGAGUUUGAUAGAGGAAAGCAGAAUUUCUAGUGUAGAGGUGAAAUUCGUAGAUAUUAGAAAGAAUACCAAUUGCGAAGGCAGCUUUCUGGAUCAUUACUGACACUGAGGAACGAAAGCAUGGGUAGCGAAGAGGAUUAGAUACCCUCGUAGUCCAUGCCGUAAACGAUGUGUGUUAGACGUUGGAAAUUUAUUUUCAGUGUCGCAGCGAAAGCGAUAAACACACCGCCUGGGGAGUACGACCGCAAGGUUAAAACUCAAAUGAAUUGACGGGGACCCGCACAAGUAGUGGAGCAUGUGGUUUAAUUCGAAGAUACGCGCAGAACCUUACCAACACUUGACAUGUUCGUCGCGACCUUAAGAGAUUAAGGUUUUCGGUUCGGCCGGACGAAACACAGGUGCUGCAUGGCUGUCGUCAGCUCGUGUCGUGAGAUGUUGGGUUAAGUCCCGCAACGAGCGCAACCCUCACUUUUAGUUGCCAUCAUUUAGUUGGGCACUCUGAA